UCUCAUGCCGGUCUCCAGGCACUUGCGCAGGCGGCAAGCCUGGCACUGCCGCCGGGUCUUCCGGGUGAUCUCGCAGGUGCCCUUCUGGAAGGGGCACCGGAGCCGGGCGUUGCGUUUCAUGGCCCUUCUGCGAGAGGACAGAGAGCAAAAGAUGAAUAGAAAGAAACAAAUUCUCCUUUGGCUCUGGCCUGUGGCUCUGGUCCAGCAGUGUGGAAGAUGAAGAAGGACCGGCCGAGGCUGCUGCAUGGGCCCUGGGGGCUGAUCUGGGAGGCCUGAGGCCUGGAGACAGGGACCCACCCAGGGGGCAUGUUUCUCAGACUCCACCCUUCUCCUGCUGGCCUGGGGGAGCAGGUGGGGUCAGUACUCAGUGAUAGCAGAAGAGAAAAACAGGACUGACUGCUGAGCUCACCAACCCUUUGAAGGCCUCAGACUUCUAGAUAUGAGAGUCUGAGCCUGCACUGAGCUGUGUUCUUGCUCUUUCUUCGGCUGGACAUCGUGAGCUUUUUGUGCAGGCCUGUCUUGCUGUGAGCUGGGACUUUUUAGUCCUUAAUUUUUUGGACCUCUGUUUCUAGGUGAGCUGGUUCUUCAUAUUCUUCACUUAUUUUUUGCCAUUCUUUAUUUAAAACCACUCCUUAAGAGUGAUUUGAACACUUGAAUUUUGAGUUUUCAGAGUCUUUCCUCUUUUACUGACUCAUUUGUUAUAUUUGCUAUUUUAUUUAAGAAGACACAAGAGAAACAAAGGGAUAUCUUAAUGGAAAGGGGCCUUUCCCAAGUAGAGUGGGAAGACAGAAGAUGAAGGUUUCCUCUCAGAUAUAAAUGUUUCUCCCGAGGCUAAUUAGGAGGCCUUUGGAUGGGCCACCAGCCCACACUCUGAACCUGGGAGUCAGGUCAGCGGAGGCCCUGAGACGGUGCCCAAGGGGCUAAUGGCAGAACCCAGUUAGAUGUGACCCAUUGUGUCGGGUGAGUGAAAGUUGACAAGUAACUGUACCUGAAAAAGCCCUUGCAUCCUUCACAUGUCAUGACAUUGAAGUGAUAACCAGUGGCCUUGUCCCCACAUACACGGCAGAUCUGGAGAUCCUCAUUUCCCUGGUCUGCAUUGAUGGUGGAAUUUGCAGAAGUGGAGUCUGCUUCGGAGUGCAUGAGGUCAGCAUGGUUCCAGCUUUCUUCAGGUCGCACCUCCAGCUUUGCUUCUGAGCCCGUGGAACUAGAAGUGAAAACACCACAGGGAGUGAGAGAGCGGGACAGGGGUGUGCUGAAGCAGCCGCACUGUGCAUCACUCACAUUUGGUUCUUUGGACACAGGAGCUGAAUUCUCAUGGAAGAAAUGAGGGUAGAGGACUAGAGCUGUUAUAAAGCGCCAUGCACCUUUCACCUUGAGGAUGUGGCUUGAAUUUUACUGGAAUGGGCACAGAGGACAGUGAGCAGAAAUUGGAAGCUGUCCUAUUCACUACUCUUCCCCAAAGCCUCUCGAGGCCACCACGCCGCAGGUGAUGUUGCCUUUUCUAAAACCAAAAUAAAACUUUUAGUAAAAUUUCAACACACAAAUUUCUGUUUUUAACAACAUGACAGAUGAGAGCUGACUGUUUCACACAUGACAGUGAAUUAGAAAUUAAUCUGUCCUCUGACCCUGGCCUUCCAAAAAACUGCAAAUAAAAUAGGCUGACUGGAAACAGGUAUGUGGGAAAAUCUUCUGAUUUUUCGAAUCAUAAUCCUGACCUCAUGUGGGCUUGCAGAAAAAAAUGUGUACUCUGAGUAUUCAGAAAAGCCACAAAGAAUUUGAUUUAAGGUGAUCUUAGGCUGAUAGUGUUUGCAGGCACCCACUGAAGCAGAUGUUAAUCUUCCUCUCUAGAGGAACUUACUUUCCACACAGACACAAAGAAUCACACAAGUCAUUUUCAAGAAGUAUGAGCAAAAAUUCACAAAUCAUGAGUCAAAGACUAACAUGGCACCAUGAUCAAGAGCCAGCAAAAACAACUUACAAGAGAAUUAGACGUGCAGAGACCCCCUGAAUUAUCAGAAAAUGAGUCUAAAUAAAUAAAUAGAAGAGGUUGAAGAUACAAGGAAAGAGAAGAAGACUGAAAUAAACCAGAUUUGUAAAAUGAAUAAAAAUUGACUAUAAAAUCUGAACUAACAGCAACUAUAUGAACCAAUAGUAACAAUGCUUAGGAGUUAGAAAAAAAAGCAAAACACAACUAAAAUAUGCAAAAACUUAAGUCAGAAGAUAGAUGAUCACAGUGAAAAUUUUCUAAAGUUCAAUAUUGUUGAGGGAGGAAAAAGAUCAUAACUCAGAUUUUGAUUAGUAAAGUAUGGUUUUUAAGUUUUCUAGGCAACCCCUAAGUCUGGAAAUAGAAUGCAUAACUUGAAAGCUCAUAGAAAGGAAGAAAUGGAAGAACAAAGAAAAAUCCAACCACAAAGGUAAAAGAAACUGAAAGGUUGACACAAAUAGCAUAAGGUAAGAUGAUGGAAAUAGCAAAUAUAUUGAUAAUUAAAUGUAAAUACGGUUGAUCCUUGAACAGCACAAGUUUGAACUGUGUGGGUUCACUCAUAUUCAGAUUUUUUUCAGUAAAUAUAUUGGAAAAAAUUUUGGAGAUGUGGAACAAUUUGAAAAAAACCACAUAGCCUAGAAGUAUUGAAAAAACUAAGAAAAAGGUAUGUUGUGAAUGCAUAAAACAUGUAGAUAUUAGUCUGUCCUUAUGUAGGCAUAAUAUAAAAUCCAUAAUGUGUUAGUUUUCUUACUGUUUUAUAACUUUGCCUAGAUUACCAUAUCGUAUGCCUCUCUGGUAUUCGAAGAAACUGCGUUAUCAUCCUUUCAUUACAGGUACUAUUUUUAAUGUAACAAUGUUUUCAGUGCUAUAAGAUGACUGUAAUAUGUAUGCCAUAAAAACCUUAUAAUGAUUCAUUCAUUAGUGUAUAUAGUCCAGGCUUUGUGAAGCAAGCGUAUCAAUCACAUUAGACUACCAUAAAGCAAUCAUGUUGCUGGUUCUUCCUUAUCAAUGCAUGAAUCGUUAUACCUGUAAAUAAAUAUGAAUUUUUUUCACAUUAUCUUUUUAUUUCAUUUUGAUAUCUAGUGUUGGUAAUAUGAGUAACAUCUACAGUGGUUUUUUGUUUUGUUUUUGUUUUUUUUGUUUUUUUAAUAUUUAUUUAUUUUAUUGGCUGUGUUGGGUCUUUUU